rnacentral:misc_RNA from 1 species
GAAAUGCGAUAAGUAAUGUGAAUUGCAGAAUUCAGUGAAUCAUCGAAUCUUUGAACGCACAUUGCGCCCGCCAGCACUCUGGCGGGCAUGCCUGUUCGAGCGUCAUUUCAACCCUCAGAACCCCUUGCGGGAUCUGGCGUUGGGGAUGGGCAUCCAGCCAGCCCCGAAAUCUAGUGGCGGUCCCUCCGCGACCUCCCCUGUGCAGUAGCGAUACCUCGCAGCGGGACAGCGGUCUGACCACGCCGUAAAACCCCCAACUUCUCAAGGUUGACCUCGAAUCAGGUAGGAAUACCCGCUGAACUUAAGC